GGGCGUCUGGCACAGUGGUAGCGCGCUUGCUUCGCAUCUUCGCGUCUGCAUGAGGUCUUGGGUUCAAACCCCAAGUCGUCCA
rfam:Peniophora sp. CONT PENSPscaffold_34_Cont65, whole genome shotgun sequence.